CUUACACUUUCUCUCUUCAACCUUUUAUGCAUAUAGUUUUUUUUCCACUUUCUCUCAUCACCAUUUUCUCUUUCUUUGAUUGUUAUAUUCUUUCUUCCACUUUCUCUCUUUUCACUAUUUAGUAUGCCGAUGAGUAUGGUGGUGGUGGCGGAAACCGAUUUACGGCGACGAUUAUGGUGGUUGUGGUGAAAAUGGGUUUCCAGCGACGAGUGUCAUUGUGGUCAGAUUCGAAAAGUGGGAGAGACAGGGAUUGAAUGGUUUUCUCUUCAAUACCACCCUGAAGCAUCCCCUGGACCUCAUGAUUCCGACAACGAAUCCGGAGUUUUUGAUCCGCGAGAAGGUCGGUCGAAGUUCAAGGUGCAACCAAGCAUACGACGAUGGAGUUAACAAACUGUA